CGUGGCGGACGGGUGAGUAACGCGUGGACAACCUGCCCAAAANAGGGGGAUAACACUUGGAAACAGGUGCUAAUACCGCAUAACCAUAGUUACCGCAUGGUAACUAUGUAAAAGGUGGCUAUACUACCGCUUUUGGAUGGGCCCGCGGCGCAUUAGCUAGUUGGUAGGGUAAAGGCUUACCAAGGCAAUGAUGCGUAGCCGAAUUGAGAGGUUGAUCGGCCACAUUGGGACUGAGACACGGCCCAAACUCCUACGGAAGGCAGCAG
rnacentral:rRNA from 1 species